rnacentral:rRNA from 1 species
UACAGAGGGUGCAAGCGUUGUUCGGAAUUAUUGGGCGUAAAGGGCGCGUAGGCGGCCACGCACGUCCGUUGUGAAAUCGCCCGGCUCAACUGGGCUAGGUCAGCGGAUACGGUGUGGCUAGAGCAAGCUAGGGGGCAAUGGAAUUCCCGGUGUAGUGGUGGAAUGCGUAGAUAUCGGGAGGAACACCAGUGGCGAAGGCGGUUGCCUGGAGCUUUGCUGACGCUGAUGCGCGAAAGCGUGGGGAGCGAUCCG